ACACGUACACAGUACAGUGCUAGACGCUCAAGUAUCCACUGCAGCAUGUAGACUAGAUCUACUGUUGAUUGAAGCAUAGAUAGUAGAAGAAGUAAGGGAGUAGUCUCUUGAAACAUGUCUGUCGAUUCCUCUACUAUAUAUCUAUAAUUGAAGCAACAAUUUAAGAAAGGUAUGGAACAGCUGGUCCAGGUCUCCUUGGUGUCGUCCUUUCACUCCCUACACAAAGUACAAGUGUUUAAACAUUCUCGGUAUGGCUCCGUUGGUAUCAGGUAAACCUGAAAAUGCAUUCGUUGGUUAUUAAAGUUCCUAUUUCAGUGGGUGGACCAACGGGCUGGAUAACAAGCAAGAAAAUAGUUUACUUACAUUGUACUUUGCAUGGAUUCUUUUUUAUAGCCAUAUCCGAGCUCAUUUAAAAGCUUGGUGUCUUCGUUGGCAUCAGGAAAACCUGCUCGUUGGUCCAUACAGGAGGCCGUUUCUGGAAACUAGGUGGACCAACGACAAGUAAAAAAAUAGUUCACGCACUUUGAAUGCAUUCUGUGUUCCCCAGUUUGGUGUGAUUAUGAGCUCAUUUCAAAGCUUGGUGUCUCCGUUGGCAUCAUUAUAAACUGGAAAUCCUGCUUGUUGGUCUAUGAGGUUUCCUGUUUCUGGAAACUGGAUGGACCAACGGCCUGGACAACAAUUUGGUGUGAUUAUGAGCUCAUUUCAAAGCUUGGUGUCUCCGUUGGCAUCAUUAUAAACUGGAAAUCCUGCUUGUUGGUCUAUGAGGUUUCCUGUUUCUGGAAACUGGAUAGACCAACGGCCUGGACGACAAUUUGGUGUGAUUAUGAGCUCAUUUCAAAGCUUGGUGUCUCCAUUGCAUCAUUAUAAACUGGAAAUCCUGCUUGUUGGUCUAUGAGGUUUCCUGUUUCUGGAAACUGGAUGGACCAACGGCCUGGACGACAAUUUGGUGUGAGCAAGCUUGCAUGGUGUCUCCGUUGGCAUCAUUAAACUGGAAAACCUGCUCGUUGGUCCAUAUAAGGUUUCAUGUUUCUGGAAACUGGGUGGACAAUUAAUGGCCUGAACGACAAGUAAGAAAAUAGUUCACGCACUUUCUUUUAAUGUGUUCCAGGUUGGUGUGAGCUUCAAAGCUUGCAUGGUGUCUCCGUUGGCAUCUUUAAACUAGAAAACCUGCUCGUUGGUCCAUAAGAUUUCCUGCUUCUGGAAACUAGGUGGACCAACGGCCUGGACGACAAUUGGUGUCAGAGCUUGGUGGCUCUCCGUUGGCAUCAUGCAGUUAUACUAAUAAACCUGGACGUUGGCCCAUAACCUUUUCUGUUUUGGAAACUGGGUGGACCAACGGCCUGGACGACACUGACAGAAUAUCAUAUCCAGCCGGAAAUUGGAUAGACAACAGCCUAUACGACAGCUGCAUCUACAAACUCUAUUAUACAUCAGACUGAAUGAAAGCCUCACUGCGACUCUGUAUGCUGAAAUCUACAAUGACAUUUAAGGAUUCUGUUUCCGUGUAGAGUAAGAGGCUGGCACUGGAUUCUUGUUGCUGUCAAUCUCCCAAAGAAAACUGUCUAUGUUCUUGACUCCCAGUCGCCAAUUCUCUCACCUUUUACUGAGCAGGCAACAUGCAUGCACAAGACAUUAAUCAAUUCUUAAGCAUGUGCAUUCGAUCACCUGCAAAGAUGGAUAUACAGUGUGUGAAGGUGGCCGCUCAGGAUGGAGUUGAAUGUGGCAUUCAUGUGAUACACAAUAAUUAUUAUGACAAUAGUCAAGUUUUCUGGACUACCUGCAUCAAAGCACCUGCAAAAGUCUGUAAACACUGCUGAAUUACGUGGAUUGAUCCUGUUAUCAUGCUACUCCACUCAACAAAGCCAAAAGACAUCUCACGGAGUCAGAAGGAGUAAAAGGGUUGCUAAUACAGAUCUGCAGACUGAUGAUGAUGCCAGUGUAUCUGUUAAGAAGACGGCAAAAUCGAAGCCUAAACUGCUAUUUUUACUUAACAUUAAUUGUAUAGCUCAGAAUGUUUAUUUUUUAUUGUAUAUAAUUAUGUGCAAUAAUAUAGUUACUAGUUUCCCUCAUAUAGUUUCUCAUCUG